GAUAAGCUCAUUCUUUCUUUUCCUUCUUCUUUCUUCUUCUUCUUCUUCUUCUUCUUCCAUGUUCUUCUCUUCACCUCUCUGUUAAACUUAGUUUCGAAUACUUGAGUGAGAUUUCUGUCUGAGCGAUUCAUCUUAAGUUAGUAUCAUGUUAUAUUGUGGGAGAAGGUGAUGAUGUUGCUGUCGAUUUGGGUUUUGGAAGAAGCAGAAAACGCUUUCAGUAACCAGAAGAAAAGGUGCGCUCGAAGAUAACUGUUUCGUAGCUUAAAGCUUUUAUCGUAUUAGAGAUGUUGCAUAGAUUUUGUAUAUGUAUAGUUUUAUUAAUCUGUAAAACAACACAUUAUUAUAUUCAUAUCACUCGAGAGAUCUUCAUUUAUAAAAUAUCAGAGUGUAUGGGUUUGCCUU